AGGUCAUGCAGGAGAACUGUGAGACGGUGACCUCGCUGGAUAAUAUUCGGGUUCAACUCCAUCAUAGCAAACAGAAGCUUCCUCCCCCCGGCCUGCUCUCCAGUACUGAACCUCCUGCACACAGGCCAUCUGAGACUGCACAGUGUAACUACCCCCUCGCCCUCAACCUGAGUUUCCCUUGGUUUCCAGUUUCCCAACCCUCUGUGAUCUUCCAGCUGGAAGGAGGGGAAGAGCCGAG